CUUAAAGUCUCCUGAAGGAACGUUGAAGACGACGACGUUGAUAGGCCGGGUGUGUAAGCGCAGCGAUGCGUUGAGCUAACCGGUACUAAUGAACCGUGAGGCUUAACCUUACAACGCCGAAG
rnacentral:rRNA from 1 species